rnacentral:tRNA from 10 species
UUAUUCAACUACAAGAACCCUA